rnacentral:rRNA from 1 species
UACGUAGGGUGCGAGCGUUGUCCGGAAUUAUUGGGCGUAAAGAACUCGUAGGCGGUCUGUCGCGUCGGUCGUGAAAACUUGGGGCUUAACCCUGAGCUUGCGGUCGAUACGGGCAUGACUGGAGUUCGGCAGGGGAGACUGGAAUUCCUGGUGUAGCGGUGAAAUGCGCAGAUAUCAGGAGGAACACCGGUGGCGAAGGCGGGUCUCUGGGCCGAUACUGACGCUGAGGAGCGAAAGCGUGGGGAGCGAACAGG